GUGCCAGCAGCCGCGGUAAUACGUAGGGUGCGAGCGUUAAUCGGAAUUACUGGGCGUAAAGCGUGCGCAGGCGGUUCGCCAAGUCAGGUGUGAAAUCCCCGGGCUUAACCUGGGAAUUGCGCUUGAAACUAGCGGGCUUGAGUGUGGCAGAGGGGGGUGGAAUUCCACGUGUAGCAGUGAAAUGCGUAGAGAUGUGGAGGAACACCGAUGGCGAAGGCAGCCCCCUGGGUCAACACUGACGCUCAUGCACGAAAGCGUGGGGAGCAAACAGGAUUAGAUACCCUGGUAGUCCACGCCCUAAACGAUGUCGACUAGGUGUUGGGGAAGGAGACUUCCUUAGUACCGCAGCUAACGCGUGAAGUCGACCGCCUGGGGAGUACGGUCGCAAGAUUAAA
rnacentral:rRNA from 1 species